UCUUUCAUCAGAAACACUAAAUCAAGGUGAAGUUGAUCCUUUAGACGACACACACAUCCAGGUGAGGUUGAUCCUUUAGACGACACACAUCCAGGUGAGGUUGAUCCUUUAGAAGACACACAUCAGGUGAGGUUGAUCCUUUAGACGACACACACAUCCAGGUGAGGUUGAUCCUUUAGAAGACACACACAUCCAGGUGAGGUUGAUCCUUUAGAAGACACACACAUCCAGGUGAGGUUGAUCCUUUAGAAGACACACACAUCCAGGUGAGGUUGAUCCUUUAGAAGACACACAUCCAGGUGAGGUUGAUCCUUUAGAAGACACACACAUCCAGGUGAGGUUGAUCCUUUAGAAGACACACACAUCCAGGUGAGGUUGAUCCUUUAGAAGACACACACAUCCAGGUGAGGUUGAUCCUUUAGAAGACACACAUCCAGGUGAGGUUGAUCCUUUAGAAGACACACACAUCCAGGUGAGGUUGAUCCUUUAGAAGACACACACAUCCAGGUGAGGUUGAUCCUUUAGAAGACACACACAUCCAGGUGAGGUUGGUUAUUUAAAAGACACCUACAACUAUUUGAGAUUGUCAUUCGAUCAUAUACACAUAAAUUUAGGUUGGAAUGGUCAUUUGGAAGAUGUACACACACAUAUCCAGGAGAAUGAAUGUCGAUGUUGUGGAUACAGCGAGAGAGAUGCAGCGUGUUAAUGAUGCAGCUUCAGGUAGUGAAUGCAUCCCCACAACUGCUGCAUGAGUUCGCCAUCGUCAA